UACGGGGGGGGCAAGCGUUGUUCGGAAUUACUGGGCGUAAAGGGCUCGUAGGCGGCCAACUAAGUCGGACGUGAAAUCCCCAGGCUCAACCUGGGAACUGCGUCCGAUACUGGAUGGCUUGAAUUCGGGAGAGGGAUGCAGAAUUCCAGGUGUAGCGGUGAAAUGCGUAGAUAUCUGGAGGAAUACCGGUGGCGAAGGCGGGUUGCUGGGCUGACACUGACGCUGAGGCGACGAAGCUAGGGUAGCAAACGGG
rnacentral:rRNA from 1 species